rnacentral:rRNA from 1 species
UACGAAGGGGGCUAGCGUUGCUCGGAAUUACUGGGCGUAAAGGGCGCGUAGGCGGACUGUUAAGUUAGAGGUGAAAGCCCAGGGCUCAACCUUGGAAUUGCCUUUGAUACUGGCAGUCUUGAGUACGGAAGAGGUAUGUGGAACUCCGAGUGUAGAGGUGAAAUUCGUAGAUAUUCGGAAGAACACCAGUGGCGAAGGCGACAUACUGGUCCGUUACUGACGCUGAGGCUCGAAAGCGUGGGGAGCAAACAGG